AAGUCGUAACAAGGUUUCCGUAGGUGAACCUGCGGAAGGAUCAUUACCUUUCAAUGCAGCAGAAUUGGGAUGGUUGAGUAUCUCGCCUCUCCGUUCUGCCUGUAUUCUACCCUUGUUUGUAAUAUACUAUUAUUUCCUCGGCAGGCUUGCCUGCCGAGUGAAACCAUUUAUAACCUUUUUAAUUUUCAAUCAGCGUCUGAAAAAAAUUAAUAAUUACAACUUUCAACAACGGAUCUCUUGGUUCUG
rnacentral:misc_RNA from 1 species